UUUUAACUUUAGGUGCAUACUAUAUCCAGCAUUUCUCCCCGUGUUAUCCCUCCCCACCCCCCGCUGUCCCUCCCCUAUGCCCCUCAACUGUCCCCAGUGCGUGAUGCUCCUCUCCCUGAGUCCACAUGUUCUCAUUGUUCAACCCGAUUCAAAAGUGGGCGAAGGAUAUGAACAAGCAUCAGUAUUUUUAAAAAGCUCUCUGGAUGAUUCCAAUAAGUGGCCAGGUAAGUAGCAAGCAUAAAAAAUUUCUCAUGACAGAGCAAGACAAAGAUUUUGCAGAGCAUUUCAUGCUUUCUUUUCUCUUCCUUAUAACUCAUGUAAAUGGCAUCUUGGCAUGAAAUGGCCUAAAACUUGCAAUACCAUGCUCUGCUAGUGACUAUUUCUCAAGUCUAUAUUUACUUUCAGGUGAAGAGAUUGUCACAUGGUAAGUGUCUAAGAAUUAUUAUCUGUGAGGCCAGACUACUCAAGGGUAUCUUGGGAUAAUUAAGCCUGUAUUCAGUACCGAGUCACUUCAAAAUCUUAAAAGACUUGGUCUCUGCCCUCCAGAUGCUUAUAAUUUAGCAGAUAGAUUGCAGAAAAAGAAGAUGUAAAUAAAACAGCUGAGAACAUUAUAAGACUACUAAAAUUGGAUAGGUACAGUACAAGAUUCUUGAAAGUUUAGCCUUGAUUCCGGAGGCAGUAGAGAAUUGUCACAAGUUCUUGAGAAGAAAAACAAUAAAAGUGGUGUCCAUGAAAGAUUACUGUGGUAGCAGUAGGCAGAUGGUGUGAAGCUGAGGAAAAGCCUGAAAUUGAACAAGCCUAGUAGGUGUCUUAGGACUCUAGACUUGGCGAUGAACUGUGUGGGUGCCUUUGAGGAGGAGAUGGAUGGUUAGGAAAUGAAAACAGCAGGAAAAGACCAGGAAUUCUGAAAAUUUUGAUAAUAAGGAGAAGAAAAAAGAGAGGGCCCAGAGAGAACAUCAGAGUUGAAGAUAGUUUUUGCUUUUUUUUGUAUGUGUGUGUUUUUCUGAAAUAGGCAAGAUUUGUGCAAGUUUGAAGGCCAAGGAAGAUGAAAUUUUAAUAGGAGAGAUGAAGAAGGUCAGAAGGAGAGGAGGAGAUGAGUACCAGCUAGAAAGACUAAAUAUUUUUCUUUUUAAAAAUGUAAUCUCUCUGGAUGUCCCAAGGGAUACCUGUGGCACUAUUAAUUCUACUAUUGCCUGUCUCCGCCGCUUCUCUUUCCCCAAAGAAGUCACCAGACUCCCUGGGCUGCAGGGGAAUCCCUGGUAUCCCAGGGCCUUGGCUGCUUAGGGAUGAGCAGCAGAUGCCAAAGAUAUGAGUAAACUUGACUUAUUUCCCUGCAGGAUUCCCUCUCCCCCGCCCAUCUUCAAAAUGUAUCCACCCAAGUUUCCAUGUCUCUUGCUGUCAGGUUCAUUUUCCACUGUGGAGAUGGAUGUGUUUGAGGACCCAGCCCCAGGAUUCCUUCAGUCAAGAGGAGAAGACCCAGAGAAACCUGAAACCCAAGGGAGAGGAAGAAAGGUCAUCUCUCUAUAAAUACCCAUUUCCGACCCCUUUGGCCAGCAGCCCUAGAAUCUACUGUGUCCCUCCGCAGGGCCUUUGGACUAGGUGCCUUAGGAAAAGAAGUGCUUUCAAGGAGCAAAGGAAAGGCAGGGAAGGUUUGGUUCCUAGUCGUUCCUUUGGGCUUGCUUAGAGACUAAACUUGCUUGAUUUCUGAAUGGGUUUCUUGGUAUUCUGCAAGGAGCAAAAAGGUCAAAUGUGAUUCUUUAGGCCUCUCACAGACUGAAACAGCUAAGUCCUGGGGGAAAACCAGAACAGAGGUAGUAGAGGUCUGGAAUUUCUCCAGGGAGCUAGACAAUGUGGCCAUCUCAGGCAAUUCUGUAGACUCACAAAAUAACAUUAUUAUGCCCACUAGUGGAAGGAAGGAAAUAAUGACACCGAACCUGUUAAAUAUAGGCACCAGCAUUUCUUUUUU